rnacentral:misc_RNA from 1 species
CUUUUACAUGUUACAUGUUUUAAUAUGAUUAUUUAUUUUGACCUACAAUAAUUACAAAUUCUAGAUAUAUCCAGCGAAAACAAAAUUCGCAUUGCAAUAAAAGCAACAAUAAACGCAUUGGACUGCGGUUUUCAGGCAACAAACACACUACUAUUUUAUGCAAGUUGUCAGAAUACAUCGUGCUCCCGACACGGUAAGACAUGCUUGUCAAUUCCUCGAACACCUGGCGUCAUCACUGAUUUUCAGUGAUCCAUUCAUAUAAUUUUCACCACUAUUUUGCCUUGUACUCCCAAUGGAAUCUGUUUCGUCGGGUAAUCAAGAUGGGUUAUUCCCUGACGUCAACGUUUUACAUUUGCGCAGUUUUAUUAUCCAUGUAUGAUGAUAGUGAGUGAGUGAGUAUGGUUUUACGCCGCUUUUAGCAAUAUUCCAGCAAUAUCACGGCGGGGGACACCAGAAAUGGGCUUCACACAUUUGUAUGAUGAUAACUGGUGAAUGGGUUAAGAAACGUUUACAAGCAAACAGAGACUCUAACUGAAUAUCCCGCCUGAUCACAUCAUACAGUGUUUACUUUCUGGUGAUGUACUCAAUGACAUCAAUGUGCACAGACCCGGACAUAGAAACAAAGACAAGGCGAUAAAUGUAUCGGUGACAUGGUACUCGACGCAUGACGGCGGGCUUUUUCAAAUAAAGAGGUCAUGCAAAUGGGGAAUCAUGAAAGACUGCCAAAGAGAUUAUUAUUACAAUGCUGACACCAGAGACUGUCAAAGCUGUGCCCAUCUGUGCCACCAGGCUGAGGUACGAGGGACGUUGCAGAAGUGUGGAGACUUAUGUCCGGUUCCGGUUACAAACCAGUUCCCACACCGAACUACGGAGAACAUGAAGACAACUGUCACGAUAAGGAUUCCAGAUGGUGUAACUGUGCACGAUGGUUCCCCUCAUGUUGUUGUCGUGGUCUGUCUGAUGUCAGUUGUCCUGACCUUCCUGGUGGUACUGAUGGUAGCUGUUGCCAUUGCCUGGGGAAGGAGAAAGAAAAAGCAACAGAGACAAAGAAUAACAGUUAACUACCGACACAGGGAUACAACCGAAGAUGACACAGAAGAAGCCUUUAGAGAAGAGCCAACCUCCAAUAUCAGCAUGUUGUCAUGAUAAUUUAUCAUCUUCUAACAAGGUGGUGUCUCUUUAACAUGGGCAUGUAUAGUACAAUCAUGAUGAUUUAAUAUCAUUCAGCAAGUGUUUUAAUUACCAAACCUUAUCAUUCAUCAUUUUCUGUCAGUGUAUGUCCAUAAACAUCUUUAUUCUGAGAUAUACGUCCAUCAUAUAGCAAUGUAAAUAUCGCCAUCAUUAUUCAACUGUUUGAAUCAAUGUUUUUCAAUGUUCUUUUUUAACAUUUAUAAUAAAAUGGUAAUCAUGCAAAGUACUUUAUGAAUGUCAUUUAGACUUUUGUGUACAAUACUGCAAUAAACAUUCAACAGCAUUUAUCAUCUAUUUAUUUUGCUGUGUUCAUCUUCAACAUUUAUAUUAAUGUCAUAUCUUUCAACACAUUGCUGGCAAUCUUCAAAAUGUUACAUGUGUACUUCAUCAUGAAAAAAAACUGCAAUUAUCAACAAAUGAUCAUCAUGAUAGAAAAAGUUUUUAGAUGUGUGUGGAAUAAUAAAUACAAAUAAAAGCUUAUCAGUUGCAAACAUGUGUAUGUCAUUUAUUAACUGUGCAAACUGUUUUGUGAUAGUAUUUAUGUAAAUUUAUGAAAAUUAUAUUGUAGUUUCUUGAUUUAGGUGAACUUUCGGACAAGUGUGCCUCUGUCAAAACACAUUGCAUGGGCAAUGAAAACGUGUGACGGAAACGGCAAAAAACUACUUUGAACACUUGACAAUUAUAUGGACCAUUACAAGGGUCUUCACGAUCGUUGUCAUCCAGAUUGCAUAUAUAGGCAAGAAGAACACUUUCACCAGACUAAAACUGCUUUGAGACUUCUAACGUUGGAACGUCAGAGAGGACUGAACCAAGACGUAGUACACCAGUCCUUACCACGUCAAAUCAAGCAUUGACCUCACAGAGAAUGAGAAAAGAUCGUAUUGUUGUACCAAGAGAAGGAAGUGAUGGGAAUUUGCUCAAAAGAUUUUUACUGGGAAGCAGUCUCUGGCACCUGUCAGCCUUGUGAUGAACUCUGCCACCAAGCCGAUGUCAGGGGGACAGGCGCACGCUGUAGAAAACUGUGUCCAGUGUCGCUGCCGGAGCCUGUGACAGCUUUAUUGAAUGCUCCAACUGCAACAACGUCUGCAACUCUACUAUCAGACGAUACCUCAAGUAGUGAACGAUAUGGGUAUGGGGCGGCAGAAUAUGCUGUCGUUAUACUGGCUGUGAGCAUCCUCCUGAUUUCUCUGGUGUCCUCGGCAGUUUUGUUCAGAAGAGAAAUAUAUUUGAUCUUUUACAGGCUAAAAGUAAAGUACUGUCAACGUUGUAAACCCAGUUCAAAUCUGAGAAGACAAGUAUAAUAGUUUGCGUCUGUUCGAUUUUAUCCUAUUUUUCUUCAUUACUGCCAUUCUUAUUUUAAGCCCAUUUAUCAAAAUCAGAGAAUGUUUCCUCGUUUUCAAGUCCGUAUUCUAUCUCCUAAGAUGACCCAAAUCUGAAACUAUAGUAGAGACACAUUUUUUCGAUUGUUCAAACAGACACACCAGCACGAAUGUUAAUUAGAACAUGAAAUGUAUAACAAAUGUAAAUAUGAAUGUAUUCUAUCAUAUUGUAUCUUCAGGCUUCAUUUCCCAAUCAAUUGAAAAUAAUUAUUACUAUUUUCAAGCAGUUCUGAAAAUGUAUUUUCGAUUAGUGUAAUAUAGCUAAAUUAAAGAAAAUUAGUUAUCAGAUUUUUCAGAUUUGAUCAUUUCAUAUAAAAUAAAUUGGAUGUCAAUUUGCGUUGCGUUUUAUUACUUACUGUAAAGGAGGGUCAAUGAACAUGAUGGCGAGUUAAUCAAAUUUAAACCCAUGUUCAUAAAUGCUUGGAGUGUUUAUUCCACUUAACUUGUUGAUAUUAAAUUUACGAUAAAAUCUAUAAAAUGACGAUGUGAUUUUGCAACGUGUGUAUUGAGGUUUCACGCGAAAAAAGUAGACCCAGUCGGAAGAAGCAAUAAAUGGAAUGAAUCGAUAUCGACUGCAGGGUACAUUCAGUCUGCAGUCUUGCUCUAUGUAAAUUGCAAACAAGCGCAAAGGCGCACAAACAAAGACCUGUCAUAUUUGUGAAGAGUAUUGUUUAUUUUUAAAGCUGCGAACAGAAAGUUACAUGGGUGUAUAAUAAUAUUUAUGUGAACAGUUCAUCAUAUCCCAGAAUGUAUACAAUGUGACAAUUUAAUAUUUAAAUGAAGAUACAUGUUGCUCGUAAAUAUAAAGUUAUCUAAUAGUAUUAAGUCCAAAUGCCCAAGUUGAUUUUACAAAGUUUUGAUAGAUAUAUUAAUUGACCUCUCCAAAAAAUCUCGGAAGCGAGAUUUUGGGAAUUCCCAUUUACGUCACAGUCCGGUCAUGUGACCUAAUAUUUGUGGUGGCGUGAUCCAUAUAGGUCAUCUGCCACAAAGGUCAUCCGCCAUAGUGAGAUCCAGGGUAUAAAAUAGGGAAUGUUUCUAUCAACGAUUUAGAAUGGUCUGCCCCACCACCAAAUCCUGGAGGGUCACUACAGACCCCCUAAAUCAGUACUGGGGUGACGUAACACUGGAAAGAAGACUUGAUUUGGAUAGAGUUUAUCACUCUCAUGUCCGACUCAGUCGAAACAGAUGUUUGGAGGGUGUUGGUUAAACCUCAUACGAACAUAGUACGAUUCCUUUUGGCAUCUGUGUUACUAUGUCUAGUAGCAGGGAAGCCGAUAUGUGAAGGGGGGACAUACUAUGACAUCGUUACCGACAAUUGUGACCCUUGUAGUCAUAUAUGUGACUAUUCCGAGGCACAGAAGACAACAACAGAAUGCGAAACUAAGUGUCCAGAAUAUGGUAAGAGAGGAUCUCUCCAUCAACCAGGGAGCGUGAUAAUGAAAAUCUAUUUUCCGUCUAGAAUAUGGUAAGAGAGUAUAUCUCCAUCAACCAGGGAGCAUGAUUAUGAAAAUCUAUUUUCCUUCUAGAAUAUGGUAAGAGAGGAUCUCUCCAUCAACCAGGGAGCGUGAUUAUGAAAAUCUAUUUUCCUUCUAGAAUAUGGUAAGAGAGGAUCUCUCCAUCAACAGAAAUGCCCCUAUCUACAAUAUUAUGACGACGUUGUGUCCCGAUGUGACUCCUGUGAGAGCAUCUGCCUCCAUGCUGGACCACAGGAUCCGGGCCAUCAAGAAACAUGUCGACGUCUCUGCCCUGAAUGGCCUGGUUAUAGCAUUACAACUGUGUCUCCACAAGAUUCCACCAUGAAAAAUCCUCAGAAUAAAUCACUCGCCAAAGACAAUCUGCCUUAUACAUUGGGCAGCAACGUUAUCAUCAUACUGGCGACGUGUGUCAUAGCGGUUGCUGUUGUUGGCCUUCUGUGUGUGGGCGUGAUAAGGAGGAAGAAGUCUUUCUGUCAGCGACAGCAUCAUCCAAAACCAACACCAGAACUCUUGACUGGCGAAGGAAACCCUCUCACUCAGCCCGAGGAUGACAAACAGUUUCAAGGAAGAUAGUUCAUGCUACAUAGAUCUUAUCAAAACAAUGUUAUGUCAACAUGUAUUUUAAUGUAAUAAAUAUAUCUUAAUAUUAA